UUCAAAUUGUCUCGUUCGUAACGGCCAAAUGACCGGUUGAAAUGGAAUUGUGGAAAGGACUCAAGUCUCUGAGUUAAGUUUACGCUGGGCAUUUCAUUAUUUGAUUACUGUGCCUAACGUAAUUCUUUCACCGCGUUGGUGGAAGUUCCGGGCUUUGACUCGGAACGAUCGGUGCCAGAGUGGCAAGAGCCUAACUUCCUGCCGCCCUUCGAACGGCUAGAACUUGUCAAGAUUCUACAGUUCAGUAAGAAUUAUGUUCUUAUGGUCUAAGUUGUGGAGCAGAUAACUACGAGCAGGAGCCAGCAAAUGCUACGUUUUGGAUUCGGGACCUAGAAGAACCGUUGACGCUCUUUGUCGUUGGAGCUCCAUUUGAGUUUGAAAAGGGAACCCCUAAUUCUUACUGCUGGGAUCAUCGUUCUGAACAUUGCCACAUCAUUCAAACUAUGCCCGGUGAGUGAUAUGAAUAAUGUGUUCCGGAAAUGCUUUUGUUCAGUCAACAUUGCAUUUCUAGGUGACUUCAAAAUUAGUUCAAGGGGCUCUUCAACAUCUGCACCUCAAACAUCUAUUAAGUUCCGUUGUGGAGUGCAAGAAAUCAAGUUUCUGUCUGAGAGCUGCUUAGGCCAGACUUUGCUUAUGGUGUGAGCUGAUGAAGUGGCCGCCUUGAAUGUCGUUGAAUGUUGGGCCAGCCUGAGCCCAGCAUCCCAAGUGAGAUGUAUUCAACUGUUCUCUCUGUCUGGGAGCUUUAAAGGCCGGACAC